GCUACCAUGCAGUCGAGCGGAACGAGUUAUCUGAACCUUCGGGGAACGAUAACGGCGUCGAGCGGCGGACGGGUGAGUAAUGCCUAGGAAAUUGCCCUGAUGUGGGGGAUAACCAUUGGAAACGAUGGCUAAUACCGCAUAAUGCCUACGGGCCAAAGAGGGGGACCUUCGGGCCUCUCGCGUCAGGAUAUGCCUAGGUGGGAUUAGCUAGUUGGUGAGGUAAGGGCUCACCAAGGCGACGAUCCCUAGCUGGUCUGAGAGGAUGAUCAGCCACACUGGAACUGAGACACGGUCCAGACUCCUACGGGAGGCAGCAGUGGGGAAUAUUGCACAAUGGGCGCAAGCCUGAUGCAGCCAUGCCGCGUGUGUGAAGAAGGCCUUCGGGUUGUAAAGCACUUUCAGUCGUGAGGAAGGUAGUGUAGUUAAUAGCUGCAUUAUUUGACGUUAGCGACAGAAGAAGCACCGGCUAACUCCGUGCCAGCAGCCGCGGUAAUACGGAGGGUGCGAGCGUUAAUCGGAAUUACUGGGCGUAAAGCGCAUGCAGGUGGUUUGUUAAGUCAGAUGUGAAAGCCCGGGGCUCAACCUCGGAAUUGCAUUUGAAACUGGCAGACUAGAGUACUGUAGAGGGGGGUAGAAUUUCAGGUGUAGCGGUGAAAUGCGUAGAGAUCUGAAGGAAUACCGGUGGCGAAGGCGGCCCCCUGGACAGAUACUGACACUCAGAUGCGAAAGCGUGGGGAGCAAACAGGAUUAGAUACCCUGGUAGUCCACGCCGUAAACGAUGUCUACUUGGAGGUUGUGGCCUUGAGCCGUGGCUUUCGGAGCUAACGCGUUAAGUAGACCGCCUGGGGAGUACGGUCGCAAGAUUAAAACUCAAAUGAAUUGAC
rnacentral:rRNA from 1 species